UACGUAGGGGGCAAGCGUUGUCCGGAUUUAUUGGGCGUAAAGAGCGUGUAGGCGGCCAUGCAGGUCCGUUGUGAAAACUGGAGGCUUAACCUCCAGACGCCGGUGGAAACCGCAUGGCUAGAGUCCGGAAGAGGAGAGUGGAAUUCCUGGUGUAGCGGUGAAAUGCGCAGAUAUCAGGAAGAACACCCGUGGCGAAGGCGGCUCUCUGGGACGUGACUGACGCUGAGACGCGAAAGCGUGGGGAGCGAACAGG
rnacentral:rRNA from 1 species